rnacentral:rRNA from 1 species
UACGAAGGGGGCUAGCGUUGUUCGGAAUUACUGGGCGUAAAGCGCGCGCAGGCGGUCUUCCAAGUCAGUGGUGAAAGCCCGGAGCUCAACUCCGGAAUUGCCAUUGAAACUGUGAGACUGGAGUACGAGAGAGGUGAGUGGAAUUCCCAGUGUAGAGGUGAAAUUCGUAGAUAUUGGGAAGAACACCGGUGGCGAAGGCGGCUCACUGGCUCAUUACUGACGCUCAGGCGCGAAAGCGUGGGGAUCAAACAGG